rnacentral:rRNA from 1 species
UACAGAGGUCCCAAGCGUUGUUCGGAAUUACUGGGCGUAAAGCGCGUGUAGGUGGUUGUCCAAGUUGGAUGUGAAAGCCUUGAGCUCAACUCAAGAAAUGCAUUCAGGACUGGAUGGCUAGAGGACCGGAGAGGAUAGUGGAAUUCCCAGUGUAGUGGUGAAAUACGUAGAGAUUGGGAAGAACACCAGUGGCGAAGGCGGCUAUCUGGACGGUUUCUGACACUAAGACUCGAAAGCGUGGGGAGCAAACAGG